rnacentral:rRNA from 1 species
UACGGAGGGUGCAAGCAUUGAUCGGAAUUACUGGGCGUAAAGGGCGCGUAGGCGGCCUGACAAGUCAGAUGUGAAAUUCCACAGCUCAACUGUGGAACUGCAUUUGAAACUGUCAAGCUAGAGCAUAAUUAGGGAAAACGGAAUUCCACGUGUAGCGGUGAAAUGCGUAGAUAUGUGGAAGAACACCGGUGGUGAAGACGGUUUUCUGGGUUAUAGCUGACGCUGAGGCGCGAAAGCUAGGGGAGCAAACAGG